AGAGUUUGAUCAUGGCUCAGAUUGAACGCUGGCGGCAUGCUUAACACAUGCAAGUUGAACGGGCAUGAAGGGGGCAACUCUUUUGUGUCAGUAGCGAACGGGUGCGUAAUGCGUGGGAAUCUACCUUAAAGUGGGGGAUAACUCGGGGAAACUCGAGCUAAUACCGCAUAGUCUCUACGGAGUAAAGGGGGCGCAAGCUCUCGCUAUAAGAUGAGCCCCACGUCGGAUUAGUUAGUAGGUUGGGUAAAGGCCGACCUAGACGAUGAUCCGUAGCUGGUCUGAGAGGAUGAUCAGCCACACUGGGACUGAGAUACGGCCCAGACUCCUACGGGAGGCAGCAGUGGGGAAUAUUGGACAAUGGGCGCAAGCCUGAUCCAGCAAUGCCGCGUGUGUGAAGAAGGCCUUCGGGUUGUAAAGCACUUUCAGUAGGGAAGAAAAGCUCAGUGCGAAUACCACUGAGUAUUGACAUUACCUAAAGAAGAAGCACCGGCUAACUCUGUGCCAGCAGCCGCGGUAAGACAGAGGGUGCGAGCGUUAAUCGGAAUCACUGGGCGUAAAGCGUGCGUAGGCGGAUAGUUAAGUCGGAUGUGAAAUCCCUGGGCUCAACCUGGGAACUGCAUUCGAUACUGGCUGUCUAGAGUAUGGUAGAGGAAAGUGGAAUUCCCGGUGUAGCGGUGGAAUGCGUAGAUAUCGGGAGGAACAUCAGUGGCGAAGGCGACUUUCUGGACCAAUACUGACGCUGAGGCACGAAAGCGUGGGGAGCAAACAGGAUUAGAUACCCUAGUAGUCC
rnacentral:rRNA from 1 species